rnacentral:rRNA from 1 species
UUCAAACUCGUACCUUUUGCAUCAUGAUUUAGCUAGAAAACCUCAAGCAAAGAGCACUUUAGUUUGACCCCCCGAAACUACGUGAGCUACUCCAAGACAGCCUAACAACUAGGGCAAACCCGUCUCUGUGGCAAAAGAGUGGGAAGAUCUUUGAGUAGAGGUGACAGACCUAUCGAACCUAGUUAUAGCUGGUUGCCUGAGAAAUGAUUAGAAGUUCAGCCUCUCGGAUUCUCCCCUCACCCCACCUCCCUCCCCCCGACAAUUAAAAGAAACCGAAAGAGUUAGUCAAAGGGGGUACAGCCCCUUUGACACAAGAUACAACUUUUCCAGGAGGGUAAAGAUCACAAUUCAACACCAAGGUUAAAUGUUUAGGUGGGCCUUAAAGCAGCCACCCCAUAGAAUGCGUUAAAGCUCAAACAUAACCACCACCCCCAAUCCUGAUAAUCUUAUCUUAACCCCCUAACCCUACCAGGCCGUUCCAUGCAAACAUGGAAGCGACCAUGCUAAUAUGAGUAAUAAGAGAAUAGUCAUCUCUCUCCUUGCACAA